rnacentral:rRNA from 1 species
UACAGAGGGUGCAAGCGUUAAUCGGAAUUACUGGGCGUAAAGCGUGCGUAGACGGUUAUCUAAGUCGGGUGUGAAAUCCCCGGGCUCAACCUGGGAAUUGCAUUCGAUACUGGAUAGCUAGAGUUCGGCAGAGGGAAGUGGAAUUUCCGGUGUAGCGGUGAAAUGCGUAGAUAUCGUAAGGAAGACCAGUGGCGAAGGCGGGUCUCUGGACAGUUCCUGACGCUGAGGCACGAAGGCUAGGGGAGCAAACGGG